rnacentral:rRNA from 1 species
AUGCUAAAUACCGGAUAACAACAGAUGAUGCCUAUCAACUGUUUAAAAGAUGGUUCUGCUAUCACUCUUGGAUGGACCUGCGGUGCAUUAGCUAGUUGGUAGGGUAACGGCCUACCAAGGCGAUGAUGCAUAGCCGAGUUGAGAGACUGAUCGGCCACAUUGGGACUGAGACACGGCCCAAACUCCUACGGGAGGCAGCAGUC